rnacentral:rRNA from 1 species
UACAGAGGUCCCGAGCGUUGUUCGGAUUUAUUGGGCGUAAAGGGUGCGUAGGUGGCAAAGUAAGUCGGAUGUGAAAUCCUGGGGCUCAACCUCAGAAUUGCAUUCAAUACUGCUUAGCUAGAGAGCUGUAGAGGAGACUGGAAUUUACGGUGUAGCAGUGAAAUGCGUAGAUAUCGUAAGGAACGCCAGUGGCGAAAGCGAGGCUCUGGGCAGCAUCUGACACUGAGGCACGAUGGCCAGGGGAGCAAACGGG